rnacentral:lncRNA from 1 species
GCUUCUGUUGAAACACCGGUUGCAUCAACAUCCUGCAAGUGCUUUGUUCGAAUUUCAGCUCUUAUUUGUCUCGGUGAUGCAGGAACCCUUUCUUUUCCACUUGCAUGGACCGAUUGUUGUCUUUUUACUGGAGAUUUAGGUGUUAAAACACCCAAAUCAAAUGAUGGAAUAUCGCCUACUUUUUGUCGUUUGGGAGUAAUAUGUUUUUUCACCAUUUUUGACUAUGGAUAAGAUUUUUUUCACCGAAUAUGUGUUUUCUUUACUAAACUUUGAAGAGUUUUUGGAUGUUGAAUGAUGAAUUGAAGAGGAUGACAAUGGAGAGAAGAAGUGAGACCAGAGAAAUCGGUAAAGGUAAAUGUAAAUAAACGUGGGGGUGGGGGGUGGGAGUAGUUUUUAUUGGGAAAGCUGAUCGGUUUGGGAAGAAAGAGAAAAAUCGACAAAAAUAAACGUGGGGGUAAUUAAUAAG